GUCUAUGGCCAUGCCACUCUGAACGUGCCCAAUCUCGUCUGAUCUCGGAAGCUAAGCAGAGCUGGGCCUGGUUAGUACUUGGAUGGAAGACUGCCUGGGAAUAGCAGGUGCUGUAGGCA
rnacentral:rRNA from 1 species